GGUUGCACUCUAGUAUAAUUGCUCCUUGAAUAUAAAGUAGGAGUGGGACAGCUCACAGAGAAGUUAAAUUUAUAGUCGUUUGGUUUCACUGCCCCCACCUCUCCGCUCCAGGCCUCAGAUCUGGGCCCUUCGCAAGGUUCACGAUCACUAGUGUGUUGACUUGAAUCAAGAGAAGGUGGUUGAGCCCACACCAGUAGGUCUGAACUGUUGAGCGCCUCCCAGCUUGCUGCGGCUCCAGAAUUUGGCUGCUGCAUGUCGUCUUUGGUUCAUCCAUUCAGCAGGCGUUGGUGAGCCCCAAAUGUCUAGUCCUGUGCGGAGGAAAUCCUCGGAAAGGCAAGAAAGAGGCCCUAUUGUCAAGCUGCUCAGCAUGCCAAAGAGGAGACACACACACAGCCUGCACACUGCUGUGCGGACGGACAACCGCCAGGCCACCGAUGACUAGAAUCCAGACCUACAGCUUUGUGCCGCCAGCCCAGAGUGGCCAGGGCUUGCUCAGCAACCGCCAGCUUCCUAAGCCAGUCCUUGGGUUCCCGUUUCAUAGUCUCCAUAUGACAUGUGUUUCAAUGGACAUGCCACCCAGCUGUAAAUGAGACAUUCUCAUUCCAAAAACGAUGGAAAAGAAAGAAGGGUUGACAGGUCCCAAACAAGCCUGAAGCUUCGCAAGGCAAAUUCCUUGAGACCUUAGGGCUGAGCCUGAAUCCGUGGGUCGGGGCCGGGCCUGGGAAUCUGCAAUCCUCACCUAAGUUCUCAAGAUCCCGUACCUCAGACUGCGGUCUGUGAGCAGCUACUUGGCCGCAGUCUGAACUUGUUGCUGGUGUGGACGCUCAGGCCCUACUUACAACCUACUGAAUAAGAAUCUGUAUUUAAACCUACGGUGUUUCUUCCUGGAGGAGGGCAUGGCAACCCACUCCAGCAUUCUUGCCUGGAGAAUCCCCAUGGCCAGAGGAGCCUGGCAGGCUACCGUCCGUGGGGUUGCAAAGGGUCAGACAGGACUGAGUGACUGAACACACACAGCAGGGCGUUUCGUGUGCUCAUUAAACCUUGAGAAGCUGUGCUCGAAGCAAUUCCCACUGAAAGAAUACAAAUACCACUUGGAAGGACUUCUCUGGAGGCUCAGUGGUAAAGAAUCUGCCUACCAAUGCAGGAGACGUGGGUCUGAUCCCUUGUCUGGGGAGAUCCCACCUGCCGCAGAGCAGCUAAGUCCGGGCACCGCCGCUACUGAGCCCACGCUCCAGAGCCCGGGAAGCGCAGUUACUGAAGCCCAAGAGUUUGUGCUCGGCAAUGAGAGAAGCCCCCACGAUGAGAAGCCUGAGCACUGCAACUAGGGAGCAGCCUCCAUGCUCCACAGCUAGAGAAAGCCCACGUGCGGCGGCGAAGACCCAGCA
ensembl:lncRNA